GGUGAGAUGGCCGAGCGGUCUAAGGCGCCAGACUAAGGAUCAGGGCAUUUGAUGUCCUUCACGUUGUUCGCAACAUCUGGUCCUCCGGGGCGUGGGUUCGAAUCCCACUCUCAUCA
rfam:Laccaria amethystina LaAM-08-1 unplaced genomic scaffold K443scaffold_27, whole genome shotgun sequence.